AUGAUAUUAGGGCAAAGCCGCUGGAAAGCGGUGACGCAAAACUAAAGGGUCUUAAUCACAUAGGUAUGUGACAGACAGCCAGUUGCUGGU
rfam:Butyrivibrio proteoclasticus strain P18 genome assembly, contig: Ga0066879_134